CAUGUCAGCAUUACAGGAGGAGACAACGACAUGUCAGAAAUAUCAGAACGGGCAGAGACCUGACAACGCUCCUCAGCUACCCAACGAGCCUCGGCAGGACUUUAAGAUGAGGAGGGUGUGGACACUGUGGCAGCCUCGAACGCCUUCUCGCUCUCUCUGUAUCUAGAUCCCAGAUUCCACCUACAUGAUAACAAGACCAAGCUAAUAUAAGACAGGGUGCUUCAUACCCAGAGAAACUGUUUUCAAACCUCUACCCUGAUGUUCCGUGGCUCAGAUACUCAAAGUGUAACCAUGCUGGCAGAAGGCCAGCAUGGUUACAUAUAACACAGAAGACCCUACCAGAUGCACCAAGGCACCAGCUAACAACAGAGCCAGCUAGCUACAAAUAGCAUUCUCAAGCCCCUCUUGUUAUAUCAAGCCUUCAACUGCUGCUGCUUCUUCCUGUUGUCUGUAGAUGUCCAGAAGUCGUCGUCAAACCAAUCGCCUUCAAUGCCCUCUACAGUGAACUCUGUGUCGUCGGCUCCCAGCUGGUCCAGUUUAGCAUCCAGGUCAGCCG